GGGCUUGUAACUCAGUUGGUUAGAGUGCCUGACUCAUAAUCAGUAAGUCCCAGGUUCGAGCCCUGGCUGGCCCACAA
rnacentral:tRNA from 1 species